UUAAGUUCAGCGGGUAGUCCUACCUGAUUUGAGGUCAGAUUUCAAAAAGCUUGACCGCCACCCUGAGGGGCAGUCGGGGGAGGGCACAAGAGGGGAACGUCUCUGUCGAGCGAGGAUGGUACAACGCCCAGUCGAGUUCGACCCACAGGCCCAACCGAUGCAUUUGAGGGGAGCCGCCUCACGGCGGCAGAGCCCCCAUA
rnacentral:misc_RNA from 1 species